rnacentral:rRNA from 1 species
UGGAGAGUUUGAUCCUGGCUCAGGACGAACGCUGGCGGCGUGCUUAACACAUGCAAGUCGAACGGAAAGGCCCUUCGGGGUACUCGAGUGGCGAACGGGUGAGUAACACGUGGGUGAUCUGCCCUGCACUUUGGGAUAAGCCUGGGAAACUGGGUCUAAUACCGGAUAGGACUACGGCCUUCAUGGGUUGUGGUGGAAAGCUUUUGCGGUGUGGGAUGGGCCCGCGGCCUAUCAGCUUGUUGGUGGGGUAAUGGCCUACCAAGGCGACGACGGGUAGCCGGCCUGAGAGGGUGUCCGGCCACACUGGGACUGAGAUACGGCCCAGACUCCUACGGGAGGCAGCAGUGGGGAAUAUUGCACAAUGGGCGCAAGCCUGAUGCAGCGACGCCGCGUGAGGGAUGACGGCCUUCGGGUUGUAAACCUCUUUCAGUAGGGACGAAGCGCAAGUGACGGUACCUAUAGAAGAAGGACCGGCCAACUACGUGCCAGCAGCCGCGGUA